CGUAGGCAGCAAGCGUUGUUCGGAAUUACUGGGCGUAAAGGGUGCGUAGGCGGCUUUUUAAGUUUGGUGUGAAAUCUCCCGGCUCAACUGGGAGGGUGCGCCGAAUACUGAGAAGCUAGAGUGUGGGAGAGGAAAGUGGAAUUCCUGGUGUAGCGGUGAAAUGCGUAGAUAUCAGGAGGAACACCGGUGGUGUAAACGGCUUUCUGGACCAUAACUGACGCUGAUGCACGAAAGCGUGGGUAGCAAACAGGAUUAGAUACCCUGGUAGUCCACGCCCUAAACGAUGCAUAUUUGGUGUGGGCCAUUCAUUUGGUCCGUGCCGGAGCUAACGCGUUAAAUAUGCCGCCUGGGGAGUACAGUCGCAAGGCUG
rnacentral:rRNA from 1 species